GGGGAAUUAGCUCAGUGGUAGAGCACUUGCCUAGCAAGCACAAGGUCCUGGGUUUGGUCCCCAGCUCCG
rnacentral:tRNA from 1 species